rnacentral:rRNA from 1 species
GACGAACGCUGGCGGCGUGCCUAAUACAUGCAAGUCGAACGCAGUGGGGACGGGUGAGUAACACGUGGGUAACCUCCCAUCAGAGGGGAUAACACUUGGAAACAGGUGCUAAACCGAUACUGAUGGAUGGACCCGCGGUUCAUUAGCUAGUUGGUGAGGUAACGGCUCACCAAGGCCACGAUGCAUAGCAGGCCUGACAGGGUGAUCGGCCACACUGGGACUGAGACCCGGCCCAGACUCCUACGUGAGGCAGCAGUAGGGAAUAUUCGGCAAGGGGCGAAAGUCUGUGCGAGCAACGCCGGGUGAGUGAAGAAGGUUUUCGGAUCGUAAAUCUCUGUUGUUAGGGAAGCGGUACCUAACCAGAAAGCCCCGGCUAACUACGUGCCAGCAGCCGCGGUAAUUC